AGAGUUUGAUCCUGGCUCAGGAUGAACGCUGGCGGCGUGCUUAACACAUGCAAGUCGAACGAGCCUUCGGGCUAGUGGCGGACGGGUGAGUAACGCGUGAGAAUCUGCCCUCAGGAGGGGGAUAACGGCUGGAAACGGCCGCUAAUACCCAUAUGCCGCGAGGUGAAAUGAGAAAUCGCCUGAGGACGAGCUCGCGUCUGAUUAGCUAGUUGGUGGGGUAAGAGCCUACCAAGGCAUCGAUCAGUAGCUGGUCUGAGAGGAUGAUCAGCCACACUGGGACUGAGACACGGCCCAGACUCCUACGGGAGGCAGCAGUGGGGAAUUUUCCGCAAUGGGCGCAAGCCUGACGGAGCAACGCCGCGUGAGGGAUGAAGGCCUCUGGGCUGUAAACCUCUUUUCUCAAGGAAGAAGAACUGACGGUACUUGAGGAAUAAGCCACGGCUAAUUCCGUGCCAGCAGCCGCGGUAAUACGGGAGUGGCAAGCGUUAUCCGGAAUUAUUGGGCGUAAAGCGUCCGCAGGCGGUCUUGAAAGUCUGUUGUUAAAGCGUGGAGCUCAACUCCAUUUCAGCAAUGGAAACUAGAAGACUAGAGUGUGGUAGGGGCAGAGGGAAUUCCCGGUGUAGCGGUGAAAUGCGUAGAUAUCGGGAAGAACACCAGUGGCGAAGGCGCUCUGCUGGGCCAUAACUGACGCUCAUGGACGAAAGCCAGGGGAGCGAAAGGGAUUAGAUACCCCUGUAGUCCUGGCCGUAAACGAUGAACACUAGGUGUCGGGGGAAUCGACCCCCUCGGUGUCGUAGCCAACGCGUUAAGUGUUCCGCCUGGGGAGUACGCACGCAAGUGUGAAACUCAAAGGAAUUGACGGGGGCCCGCACAAGCGGUGGAGUAUGUGGUUUAAUUCGAUGCAACGCGAAGAACCUUACCAGGGUUUGACAUCCUGCGAAUCUUUUGGAAACAGAAGAGUGCCUUCGGGAGCGCAGAGACAGGUGGUGCAUGGCUGUCGUCAGCUCGUGUCGUGAGAUGUUGGGUUAAGUCCCGCAACGAGCGCAACCCACGUCUUUAGUUGCCAGCAUUAAGUUGGGCACUCUAGAGAGACCGCCGGUGAUAAACCGGAGGAAGGUGUGGAUGACGUCAAGUCAUCAUGCCCCUUACAUCCUGGGCUACACACGUACUACAACGCUACGGACAGAGGGCAGCAAACUCGCGAGAGCUAGCAAAUCCCAUAAACCGUGGCUCAGUUCAGAUCGUAGGCUGCAACUCGCCUACGUGAAGGAGGAAUCGCUAGUAAUCGCAGGUCAGCAUACUGCGGUGAAUACGUUCCCGGGCCUUGUACACACCGCCCGUCACACCAUGGAAGUUGGCCAUGCCCGAAGUCGUUACUCCAACCCUUGUGGAGGAGGACGCCGAAGGUGGGGCUGAUGACUGGGGUGAAGUCGAAACAAGGUA
rnacentral:rRNA from 1 species